rnacentral:rRNA from 1 species
AAAUUGAAGAGUUUGAUCAUGGCUCAGAUUGAACGCUGGCGGCAGGCCUAACACAUGCAAGUCGAACGGUAACAGGAAUCAGCUUGCUGAUUCGCUGACGAGUGGCGGACGGGUGAGUAAUGUCUGGGAAACUGCCUGAUGGAGGGGGAUAACUACUGGAAACGGUAGCUAAUACCGCAUAAUGUCGCAAGACCAAAGAGGGGGACCUUCGGGCCUCUUGCCAUCGGAUGUGCCCAGAUGGGAUUAGCUAGUAGGUGGGGUAACGGCUCACCUAGGCGACGAUCCCUAGCUGGUCUGAGAGGAUGACCAGCCACACUGGAACUGAGACACGGUCCAGACUCCUACGGGAGGCAGCAGUGGGGAAUAUUGCACAAUGGGCGCAAGCCUGAUGCAGCCAUGCCGCGUGUAUGAAGAAGGCCUUCGGGUUGUAAAGUACUUUCAGCGGGGAGGAAGGGAGUAAAGUUAAUACCUUUGCUCAUUGACGUUACCCGCAGAAGAAGCACCGGCUAACUCCGUGCCAGCAGCCGCGGUAAUACGGAGGGUGCAAGCGUUAAUCGGAAUUACUGGGCGUAAAGCGCACGCAGGCGGUUUGUUAAGUCAGAUGUGAAAUCCCCGGGCUCAACCUGGGAACUGCAUCUGAUACUGGCAAGCUUGAGUCUCGUAGAGGGGGGUAGAAUUCCAGGUGUAGCGGUGAAAUGCGUAGAGAUCUGGAGGAAUACCGGUGGCGAAGGCGGCCCCCUGGACGAAGACUGACGCUCAGGUGCGAAAGCGUGGGGAGCAAACAGGAUUAGAUACCCUGGUAGUCCACGCCGUAAACGAUGUCGACUUGGAGGUUGUGCCCUUGAGGCGUGGCUUCCGGAGCUAACGCGUUAAGUCGACCGCCUGGGGAGUACGGCCGCAAGGUUAAAACUCAAAUGAAUUGACGGGGGCCCGCACAAGCGGUGGAGCAUGUGGUUUAAUUCGAUGCAACGCGAAGAACCUUACGGUCUUGACAUCCACGGAAGUUUUCAGAGAUGAGAAUGUGCCUUCGGGAACCGUGAGACAGGUGCUGCAUGGCUGUCGUCAGCUCGUGUUGUGAAAUGUUGGGUUAAGUCCCGCAACGAGCGCAACCCUUAUCCUUUGUUGCCAGCGGUCCGGCCGGGAACUCAAAGGAGACUGCCAGUGAUAAACUGGAGGAAGGUGGGGAUGACGUCAAGUCAUCAUGGCCCUUACGACCGUGGCUACACACGUGCUACAAUGGCGCAUACAAAGAGAAGCGACCUCGCGAGAGCAAGCGGACCUCAUAAAGUGCGUCGUAGUCCGGAUUGGAGUCUGCAACUCGACUCCAUGAAGUCGGAAUCGCUAGUAAUCGUGGAUCAGAAUGCCACGGUGAAUACGUUCCCGGGCCUUGUACACACCGCCCGUCACACCAUGGGAGUGGGUUGCAAAAGAAGUAGGUAGCUUAACCUUCGGGAGGGCGCUUACCACUUUGUGAUUCAUGACUGGGGUGAAGUCGUAACAAGGUAACCGUAGGGGAACCUGCGGUUGGAUCACCUCCUUACCUUAAAGAA